rnacentral:rRNA from 1 species
UACGGGGGGUGCAAGCGUUGUUCGGAAUCAUUGGGCGUAAAGGGCGUGUAGGCGGCUUGGUAAGUCAGAUGUGAAAGCCCUGGGCUUAACCCAGGAAGUGCAUUUGAAACUGCCAGGCUUGAGUAGGGAAGAGGAAGGUGGAAUUCCUGGUGUAGAGGUGAAAUUCGUAGAUAUCAGGAGGAACACCGGUGGCGAAGGCGACCUUCUGGUCCUAUACUGACGCUGAGACGCGAAAGCGUGGGUAGCAAACAGG